ACAUAAACAUGCAAGGAUUGGCUGGGUUGAAAGUACAAAUAACAGUGAUAGGAAUCUAGAAGUUUGGGUCUGAAAAGCCCACUGCUUCUGGACUUUAAACAGCAAGAAAUAUGGGGGCAUUUGGGUGGCCCAGUUGGUUAAGCAUCUGACUCUUGAUUUCAGCUGAGGUUGUGAUCUCAUGGUUUGUGAGAUCGAGCCCCGCAUUGGUCUCUGCAUUGACAGUGCACAGAGUCUGUCUGGGAUUCUCUCUCUCUCCAUCUCUCUCUCUCUCACUAUACCCCUCACCCCAUUUGCACACUCUCUCUCUUAAAAUAAAUAAAUAAAAAAAAAAACAGGAAGAAAUAAAAAGGCUUUUAGUGAAGAAGUUCUAUAAAAAUUCUGGCUAAUCAAAUGAAGAAUUUCAGUCCUGUAGCACAGAUCAUAUUAAAGAUGUUCCUUUCUUGCCAAUGCCUAUUGUUUUAGAAUGCUAUUCUAACUUGAACAAAUUCAGCAACAUUCUUAGGAAGUAAAGAAACACAGCCAGCUGGAAGGAAGAAUUUUGGGUUUGGUCCUUAGCAUAUAGAAUUGACAGGCAACAAACAGAUCAAAAAGAAACUUAUUGUUUGUGAGGAAAAUGCUUUGCUAAAAAGAAAUAACCCCAGGGGCACCUGGGCACCUGGCUGGCUCAGUCAGUUGAGCGUUUGACUCUUGAUUUUGGCUCAGGUCAUGAUCUUAUGGGUUCAUGAGAUCGAGCCCCACAUCAGACUCCUUGCUGACAGCAUGGAACCUGCUUGGGAUUCUCUCUCUCCCUCUUUAUCUGCCCCUCCCCUGUUCAGUUGCACACACACUCCCUCUCAAAAUAAACAACUAAACAUCACAAAAAAGAGAGAGAGAGAGAGAGAGAGAGAGAAAUGAUAAGCCUAGCUUUAAAAACUCUUUGGCUAGAACUCUUUGAGCCUCCAACUUUCCAGACAGCAAAGCCAGGGGCAUGGAAAACAAUAUGUUAGGGAGUUCUUCCCAGAAAGCAGGUCCAAGGUUUAUUAAGAAUUUCCUCCACGAGAGAACAAGAGUUCUUUAUAAGACCCAUUCAAUCAGUAUCUCAUCCUGGCCACAGACCACUGCCUCUGGAGUCAGCCAUAUUUCUUUAUCCCAAAGAGGAACUUGUAUUAGGAUGUCCUGCCCAGGCCUUCCUGUCCAAGCCUAUAUGGUGGUAGGAAUUCGUCACCCAACCACAAGGUGCCAUAUCCAGAAUGGCUGGAGAGCACCACGUAUCACUAAGGGAUCCUGACCUUGGAGAUGGUAAGAUGGGACUUUGAAUUGUCUCCCUUGGGAAGAAGGCAAGUGGAACUUUGAGGAACAGAUGGGUCAAGAAAAUUUUAGCAAGUUUUGCUCCAUGUGUCCCAUUCAAUCCUACUUUUUUCCUUCUUCAAGUUUUCACCAAAUACUUAGAAUAUUUUUCAAAACUUGCAGAGAUGGCUUUGCUUUUAUUUUUAUUUUCUUCCCCAAACACAAGUACAUUUUAAGGCAAGAACAAAAGUUUGGGAUAAACUGAGAUCAACACAUCACAUUUAUUUGGGCAACUAAGCACAGCAUAGGAAAGACACCACUAGUAAAGCACUCUUUUUAAGUGAGCAUCAUGCUUUAAUUUCUUACAAUUGGGAUUUGACUCUGAGUCCUAAUAGUAACUGAUCUAUUUUCCCCAUUUUCUGCUUCCAUGAAGGAAUCCAGUUUACUCAGUAUAUACGUAGACUGUUAUUUAUUUUCAACUCCAGUGUAUUUAUGCAAUGAGCUACAGAGCAAAAGAAAGCCACCGUGUCCUCGCGGAAAAUGCAUUCUGUUCUUCUUCCACUGUGGGGAUGGGGCGAUCCACAGUUGUGCUGGCUUAAUCAUGCCUGCACCUGGCAAUCAAUCACUCUUCUGGAGACUGCAUCCCAUCAGGCAUCGGCACAAAGAGGACUCUUGCCAGGUAGAAUCAGGGGCAGAAAAUGCAAUUCCAGUCUCUGACAGUGAUUGAACAUAGAUAUGCCAGGGCUUUGCUUGGUAUCCCUGGACCCGAAACGUGCACAGAAAAGUUGCCAAAUGCAUGGCUCAUACUUCCUUCCGAACAAGACUGCCAUGCUAUUUUAAAGUUCUUACUACACAAUUUAUCCACAGCUAAUACAUGGAAAACAAAACUAGAGUUAUAUGUUCUCUGGGGGAGGUAUAUUACAAUACGAGUAGACUGCAAGUAGACAGUUCAGUGGCAAAGAAUUGGGCCCUGAAUGCCCCACCCAGUGCAAGAGUUUUCUAAGAGGAGAAAAAUUUUCACAAAUUUAAGCCUCUCCUCCUGUAUGUACAUCAUCCCUCAACUGCCCACCUCAUUUUGUCCCCUCCCCAAAAGAAUUCAUGGAAACCUUGGUCCAAUCUAAAUAGAUCCUUCCUGGCUCACAAAAUCACAGGAUGUUGGCAUAGGAAAGCUCCAUGAGCAAUUUUACUUCAUCCUCUUGUAGGACUGGAAAACUAAGCACAAGAAUGGUGAAACUAUUUAUCCAGGUUCAAACAGCUAGUAAGUAUGGGAUUCGGGAUUAGAACCCCCACCUCACAUCUCCUGGUCCAGGGCCUUUCUCUUGUUUACAAACACUUUUCCAGUCAUAUUCAGAUUCCUGAAUGUUGGUAGACAUUUUAUCAACUGAAUCCAUUAGGUAUUAACUACAAUUCUAAAUUUUAACACUGCUGAAAAGACACGUAAGAGGCAACCUCAGUGCUCUGUUUGAAGAGAAGCAAAGAGUGCUCCUUAAUUCUGUUAUGAAUUGCAUCCUUUAUACUUGCAGAUCUUCCCCAAGCAAAGAUUUGUUGGCUGAUAAUCUGGAAUGAGAAGUAUUGCCUUGUCAAAAAAAGAAAUUUAUCAUGGAGAGAGGGAUAUAGUAAUUACAGAGCUACACAUAAAUGACAGUUGUGUGAAGACUGUUAAGGAAAUUGGAAAUCACUCCAAGGCCUAAUAGAUACACCUAACACAAUCAUCUGGGAAUAAAAGGAACAGAAAGGGGGAUAUUUGCAGCUAUUACACUUGACAGCUAUAAGGGCCUCUGAGCUUCAUAAGAAUCCAGAAAGUUCGGCAGGGCUGGGGAAAGGAUCAUUUUCCUUGUUUUGCACACGAGGAAACACUCAGCUCUAAGUGGCCUACAUUAAAUCAUAUGGAUUUCAAGCUGCAGAGCCAAGACCAGAAUUCAGGCCUUCUGACUGCAAGCCAGUGCCUUUUCAGCUCUGCCAGAAAGCAAAUCAGCGGGGAGGCUGCUGAACAGCUUCUGAGUUGUCAGAAAGCAGAGUUUGCAAGUGGCUUCUGAAGCAGUACAGGUGACAGCAGUAGUUUCCAGGCACCCUGGAGAUACCAGUGCUCUUUCAAACCAGUCAGUGAGUUAUCUACAAUGGUUAACCUGGAUAUUCAUGACAGACCAUUAAAUAUCAGUGCAAAGAGCACUGGGCCAUGCACUACGCAGUCACUCAAGUGCACAUGGAGGGAACUGCUUUGCAGCUGCCAUGCCACAAGCCAGAGCACUCUCAGGUAUGUCCAUGUCCCUGGGCCCUCAUGGGCCAAUUUACUGCAAAUAACCUCACUGUGCUUUAUAUGCAAAAUCCUAGGCUCUGGCCUCCAAACUGACAGUAUUAGCUGGGUAAGACAGAUAUUGAGAAUCAGUAGCAGAAGGAUCCUUAAGACUUCUUAUAGCAAUAAGCUGCAGAGAAUCCCUACUCAAAGUUUAACAUUAAGAAGCUGUGCUUCAGAUGGCCCUGAGAAGAGUAAAGGUUAGUUACUUGUUAGGAAGAGGAGGAGGUGGAGGAGAAAAGAAAAAAGGGCUGCUUUAAGCAGCCUAGGAGAUAGAAGAUACCUGUUCAACUGGUUCUAUGGUCCAAUUGAAUCAAUCAGUUUGAGCAGAGAAAGAAAUAAGAUCAGCUGAGUAAAAAUCUUGGUUUCAAUGAUUUAGUGUCCUGGACUGAAUGACUGAUUUCUGGCUAAAUUUUCCGGCCAGUUUAGUGAUGAGUUGAGUUUUAUGUACAGUCCAAACAAGACAGAAGUGGGCAUCUGUGAUCUGUUUUAUGCAAGGCAAUGUCUGAUUUUUUUUUUAUGUUUACUUAUUUUUGAGAAACUGGGAGAGAGAGAAAGAGCACUCAUAUGUGAGUGGGAGAGGGGCAGAGAGAGAAGGAGACACAGAAUUGGAAGCAGGCUCCAGGCUCUGAGCUGUUAGCACAGAACCUGAUGCGGUGCUUGAACUCAUGAGCUGUGAGAUCAUGACCUGAGCCGAAGUCGGACACUUAACUGACUGAGCCACCCAGGUGCCCCGUAAGGCAAUGCCUUUUAUAUAUUUUGAGAUAAAUCGCAUUCUACAAUGUCUUACUGACGGGGUUUCCUAUCCUCUUUUACUUAGAAAGAAAAUAUCUACAUUUUUUCUA